CAGCCGCCACGGUAAUACAGAGGGUGCAAGCGUUAAUCGGAAUUACUGGGCGUAAAGCGCGCGUAGGUGGUUUGUUAAGUUGGAUGUGAAAUCCCCGGGCUCAACCUGGGAACUGCAUCCAAAACUGGCAAGCUAGAGUAUGGUAGAGGGUGGUGGAAUUUCCUGUGUAGCGGUGAAAUGCGUAGAUAUAGGAAGGAACACCAGUGGCGAAGGCGACCACCUGGACUUAUACUGACACUGAGGUGCGAAAGCGUGGGGAGCAAACAGGAUUAGAUACCCCAGUAGUCCCUGUCUCUUAUAC
rnacentral:rRNA from 1 species